CCUUUACAAUGCACGAAAGUGUGAUAAGGCAACUCCUUGUGCUUAUCCAAAAGAUAGGCUUUUUUAGUAUGUAGUGUAUACUAAGAAUAAGUGAUAGGGCGAAGACCGGUGCCAGCAGCCGCGGUAAUACCGGCGUCACAAGUAGGAGAUCACGAUUACUGGGUCGUAAAGUAGUUCGUAGCUGGUCAUAUAAGUCUCUUGUGAAAGUUCUGUAGCUUAACUCAGAAUUG
rnacentral:rRNA from 1 species